rnacentral:rRNA from 1 species
UUGAACUGGAAUCAGGUAGGAAUACCCGCUGAACUUAAGCAUAUCAAUAAGCGGAGGA